rnacentral:rRNA from 1 species
UACAGAGGGGGCGAGCGAUAAUCACGAUAACUGGGUUUAAAGGGUGCGUAGGCGGACAUUACUUAGAAAACCUGAAAGCAAUGUUUGUGUAUCGACACAAAGCAAACUUGGAAAGUAUGUCUAUUGAGAUAUGAGCAGGUUUCUGGAAAGCGCUGUCGAAGGGUCGCAAACCCAAAAUGGCGAGUAACGCUAAUGGCGAAGGCAGGAUGCCGGCCGUAAUCUGACGCUGAGGCACGAAAGCGUGGGUAGCAA